UGAUUAGGUUACAAAAAGCCUUGUAUCUGAAUCUCUUGGAGCACUUGUUCUGGAGAAAACUAACAACCAUGUAGGAAGACUGAAAACUUUACUUUUGAGAAGCCAAAGCACAUGAAAAGAGGCCAUGAAUAGUGUGAUGCCAGAGUAAGAGAAAAAGAAGAUGAGAAGGGGUCAGAUCUUUAAAGUGCUGGGUAUAUGAGUGAAGAAGUCCUCUUUGAAGUGAAAACUCCAGCCCUAUCUACUUCAUAUGGUCCUAUAGAUCAGUGAUCAAACCACCAGGUACCAAAUCCAGGGUGACUGACUGGCAGACGAAGUAGCAAAAAGAACAGUCUCUUUCACAUAGGCUUCAUGCCCCAUGUGGAAUCCAAGGCAGGGCCUGAAUUCAGAACCCUAAAAUCAAGACCUGUGCUGAGAUGAAGAGUUGGACCCUCAACCAACUGAUCUAGCCAGCUUGUUUAUCCUUACUCAACAACAUAUCACAACAAAUUUACCGCAAAGACCUUCUUUUCUUCUACAUCUGCUCUCCCCAACCUUCUGAGGAUGCUUCUACCUUGUAUACUGUUUUCCUUAACUUUGGUUCGGACUGCAAACAUAUUAUUUCACUAUCUUUCAACCUAUGUGACAUUUGAUAAGAACUCUCACUUAAGAUUCUCUCCAAGAUUUUAUAACUAUUUUUUGCUGCAAAACCAGCUUAUGAAGAAUGUGCAUCCCAUUGGAGAUACAUCCUUAGGCAAGGAGAUAACAGAAGGCCGGGAGAUGACAUAUUUAAAGUAUUGUUUUAAAACAUAAAAUAAAAUAAUAAAAAUAAGUAAAUAAAGAGAACUAUCAACCAAGAAAUCUAUUCCAUUAAAACUACUAUUCAAAAAUAAAAGAAUGAUAAAGAUAUUAACUGACAAAUAAAAACUAAGAGAAUCCAGUGUUAGCAGAUCUGCCCCCCUAGAAAUACUAAUGGGAGUUUUUCAGGCUGAACUGAAUGGACAAUAGAUGAUGACUCACAUCUGCAUGGAGAAAUAAAGAGAGUGGUAAAGAUG